rnacentral:rRNA from 1 species
GACGUAGGGCGCGAGCGUUGUCCGGAUUUAUUGGGCGUAAAGAGCUCGUAGGCGGCUUGUCGCGUCGACUGUGAAAGCCCGCGGCUCAACCGCGGGUCUGCAGUCGAUACGGGCAGGCUAGAGUUCGGUAGGGGAGACUGGAAUUCCUGGUGUAGCGGUGAAAUGCGCAGAUAUCAGGAGGAACACCGCUGGCGAAGGCAGGUCUCUGGGCCGAUACUGACGCUGAGGAGCGAAAGCGUGGGGAGCGAACAGG